AGUGAACGCUGGCGGUAGGCCUAACACAUGCAAGUCGAACGGCAGCACAGUAAGAGCUUGCUCUUACGGGUGGCGAGUGGCGGACGGGUGAGGAAUAGAUCGGAAUCUACUUUUUCGUGGGGGAUAACGUAGGGAAACUUACGCUAAUACCGCAUACGACCUACGGGUGAAAGCAGGGGAUCUUCGGACCUUGCGCGAUUGAAUGAGCCGAUGUCGGAUUAGCUAGUUGGCGGGGUAAAGGCCCACCAAGGCGACGAUCCGUAGCUGGUCUGAGAGGAUGAUCAGCCACACUGGAACUGAGACACGGUCCAGACUCCUACGGGAGGCAGCAGUGGGGAAUAUUGGACAAUGGGCGCAAGCCUGAUCCAGCCAUACCGCGUGGGUGAAGAAGGCCUUCGGGUUGUAAAGCCCUUUUGUUGGGAAAGAAAAGCAGCAGGUUAAUACCCCGCUGUUCUGACGGUACCCAAAGAAUAAGCACCGGCUAACUUCGUG
rnacentral:rRNA from 1 species